rnacentral:rRNA from 1 species
AACUUUCAGCAACGGAUCUCUUGGCUCUCGCAUCGAUGAAGAACGCAGCGAAAUGCGAUAAGUAAUGUGAAUUGCAGAAUUCAGUGAAUCAUCGAAUCUUUGAACGCACCUUGCGCCCUCUGGCUAUUCCGGAGGGCAUGCCUGUUUGAGUAUCA